ACACAGUGGUCAUCAAUGUUUGCUGUUACUGUAAGGCAGGGCUCACCGAUUACACGGCAACUCAGACAGGUUUUAUUGCCACCGAGAAUGAGCAGCAGAGGAUCUGGAUGGGUUCUCAUGUUUGUUUUGGCUCAGACAUUUUCCACAUACGCGGCCCUGGGAAUCCUCAAGAAAACAUGUCUUGUUCCCAGCUCUGCACAGCCCCCAUUGUGCUCCACUUUCCUCACUGAUGAAAGUGAAAACGAAACCGGCACAAACAGCCCAUUGCUAGGUAGGAAAUAUGUCCUGGCAACUGGAAGCUUUAACAAAACAGACCUGGCUGUGUCAUGGCAAGAUACUGAGACAGGAAGGAGUCACAGGAGGCUUUCCUACUUCAGAGGUGUGUCCCGAACUUUUUCUGAGGUGCCCAGGUGGCAGGACUUUGGGGUUUUUCCAUGAUACUCAUGUAAGGUUCUUGGUUUGAGCCAUUCAGUAUUCAUUGGCAGCUUCUGGAGGCUUCUGUGGGAGCAACUCCGCUGCUGAAGCCAAGGCACAAACACUGCCAGGUCUCCAUAGUAAAUACAACAUGCACGGAGAAGAAACAAACAUAAAAGAAUUUCCUUUCUUGUGUAAAAGAUGACAUUGUUCUCUAACCUCUGGUCCAAUUUCACUUUGUCACUUGAGCAUACAAACUGGGUGUCACGCGAUGAACAAAGACUGGAUGCACAGCACAUCCAAUGGACUUGCAGACAGGCAGGAUCUGGAAGGAGGGGACCUUGUGAACACCCCAUAUUCUGGCUCAGACUUGAACUUUGCAGGUAACACUGCAGGAACCUGGGGAAGCUGCUGCUGCUUGUUUCUCUGUGUGGAACAUCAGGACAUGGAGCUGUGUCAUCCUGUCACAGCAACGACCAAGGAUGCCACCUCACAUUUCUCAGCGAUGGCACCCACCAAGCCAGGUUCUGGUUUCAGAAACUCUUUGAGGCUGAAGAUGGACUCUGUCUCCCAAGUGUAAUUUGAUUUGUCUGAGGGCACAUCCUGACAGCUGUAGUCUGCAUCCAUCCCCUGCCCUGCUAGUAACACAGUGAGGAAACACUGUGCCGCUCAAUCCAUCUACUCAUGAAUUUACUUCAUGCUAAGCAGGAUUUUCAAAGAAAAGGAUUAUUAAUACUAACUACUGGGGUGCUCUUCUUAGAGCCUGAGUGUAGAAUUCAAAAAGACGAGCUAUAAAGAGAGACAGCAGUUAAUUAAAGGAAGGACUUGUUACGGCUCUGAAGCUUAAGCUCUUUGCCAAAACAAGGGUUCAGGUUGUCUCUGCUCUGGCCCACAGGAAGCCUUCACAUGGCUAGGCAGUGCUACUCAUUCAUCAUUCAGAGGUCAUUCAAGUUCACUGCCAAGGUAAUGUCUUUCUUGAUGGCAUCACAGCUUCAGGGACUGCUUUAUCCCACCUGCGCAGGCGGUGUGCCUGUUUCUCAAGUCACACUGCUGCAGACAGGCAACAUGUCUGUCUCCUGCCUUCUCUAUCUUGACCCUGGCCAGGUGUUCUCCCAUUGUUAUCCAUGCAACUCUAAAAACACAAGUUAUAGCAAAAAGCAUUUAGAAAUUUGUAUUUGACUGCAAUCCAGGGGCCGAGAUGCCAACAGGCUUUUCUGCAACAAACCCAGUCAGAUGUAUCCAUAGUAAGCAAAGCCCUUUCUCCUUCCCCACUGCUGGCAAAAAGUGCUAAGACAUUCCAUUCAUGGACCGAUAAACAUUAGGAACAUGAAGGGGCAGUCUGUCAUCUCAAACAAGAAAGCUCAGUUUAAUGAAUGGAGACUGUGCUCUUACUCACCACUGACGUCAGGGCCAUUUGAAAACUAUAGAUGCGGGCAAGGCCGAAGUCAGCCAGUUUGAUUUGUCCGCUGCUGGUCACUAGGAUAUUCUGUGGUUUCAAGUCACGAUGCACUACUCGAUGAGAAUGAAGAAAGUCCAGACCUCGGAGAAGCUGAAACAUCAUAUCCUAAAAGAAAUAACAAACAUGCAAAAGUCAGUAGAUGUUACAGGCAGUUUAGGGGCUGUAACAGACACUGCAUUCCCAGCAGACCUGAGAUGAAUGCGGUCUCCCCUCCUGUCAUAACUCCCAUCUUCUAGAACAUUGUGAGAUACUUAGCUCCUACCUUGUACUUCAUUACGAAAGGACAUCUUAACAUCAUUGUACGAUACACGAAUCACUCUAGAAGGCGCUGCUGGUUAAUGCGAAGAAGGUGAAAUAGGAGAUGGACCAAGGGGGAUGCAUUUUACUUUAUAUACUUUUAUUUAUUAAGUUAUUUCAACAGUCAAUAUAUGACAAAACAGUCAAGCAUGUUUCUAAAUGUUUGGCAACCUAUUUAGUCUAAACCACAACAAUGAGGUAAAUUUUUGUGUCAAGAAUCUGAUAUGUUUCCUUUUGUCCCUGCGGAGUCCCUGGGCUACCAGGAAUCACUGAUCUGGUGCGGUGGAGUUCCACUCUGGGUGGGUGAGUGUGUGCGACUCUGGGGUGACCUGCCCCUGAAAGAGAGCACAGCCCCACUCCCCCAGCUCCCGGGGCAGGGGUGUCUUUGGUACUCACGUCCCCUGCCUCUCCCAAGUCUUCCCUAGUGUAUUCAAGUAGUCCUGCUCCUGUACUAACGCCAUCAACCCAAAGGGGGAGGGACUGCCCUCCAGGCAGGUCUGAGGAUUCCUGCAAGGGAGUGCGGGCUCCUUCAGAUUGUGCUGCAAGGUUCACUGUGACCAGGGCUGAGGAGCGAGUAGGGAGGAAAGCGAUGAUACUUGCUAAGGAGAUCAGUUAGUGUCAAGAAGGAGAAUCCACAGCCUUUUCCACGGAGACAGACAGAAAGGUGCUUUGCCAGGGGAUCCCACCCAUUGAAGAUGUCGGAGGAUAAAACUGUAGGCUCAUUUGGAAAUCUUUCAUUUAAAAAGAGAACCUUCAAUGUAAAAACUAAGCCCAAAUGAAGAAUGCCACUACACAGACGCCCUACUUCAAAUGGGCUACACAGAGAAGCAUUUCCUCUAAUGUGGCUGCGGGUGCUUGGAGGCCACUGCAGCCAUCCUCCUGGAGGGCGAGGCAGCACCAGAAGUUGGCAUCAGAACACGAUAGUUAAGAGGCAAUGGAAGCUCACCCCAAGACUCCAGAGAAAAGGCCAGUGUGUAACAGAACCGGUUGGAGUGACUGGAGAGACAAUCUAAGAUGCUCACACUGUGAAGUCAUGGAAGAAAAGAAGCUGAGAUUUCAUUGGAGACUACAGGAUGACGGAGGUGACAAGAGUACGGGGCAUUUGCCGAGAAAGACUGCAGAAACUGAGUGAGCUGGCUGUGCGUGCCACAGGCAAGAGGCUACUCAAGGUCAUGGGAUCUCAGACGACACCACCAAAGGCCCAUAGGUUGGGAGUGGAGCACCAGGGUUUGGUGUUUGUCUGACAGGUUUCAGUGCUGCUUGGGUCUGAUUCCUUGCUAGUCUCCUGUUCUUCGCUUUUGGAAUUAGAGAGUCUACUCCAUGCUAUUGUACAUUGUAAGAAUACAACUUGUUUUCUGGUUUUACAGGGCUCACAGCUAAGAAUCUGCCCUGAGUCUCAGGAGACUGGAUUUCUGGACAGUGUUUGAAUUAUUCCAGUUGGGGAUUCUUAAAGUUAGAUUGAGUAAAGUUAGUAUUAUUAUGAAGUGGCCACAAGCCUCUGAGGGCAAAGGGAUGAAGUGCUGUGAUCUGCUUGUGAAAUAUUCCUCAUAGGUUUAAUGUGUUUGAACAUGAGGUUCCCUACUGAUAGCCCCAUAUUGGUCGGGCUGAAGGCAGAGGCUGGGGAGGCUUUGGGAGACAGUGCUAGCUAGCUUGCUUAAGGCCAGGAGAAAUGCUGAGGGGUAGCAGGCCCACUUCUGGCUCGAGUAAACACCUUAUGUUACUGGCUGUUUCAUACUUCAGCUGUCAGGGCUGUGUUCUGUCGCUGACACUGUGACUUCCUCACUAUGACAGGAUACUCUAAAACAGUUGAGACAAAUUAACCUACCUCAAAAAUGAAUGAAUGAGUAAAUAAAUAAACUGACCCAUCUCUAGCUGAAUUGCCUCUAUCUAGUAUUUAUUUAGGGCAACAGAAAAAUAAUAAAAUCACUAACCAGUUUACUGAGAACAACAUUGAUUUUGGGUUCACUUUCUGAAGUCCAGAAAUUUUGUCUGCUUUAAAAUCAUCCUUAGUUUUUCUAGGUGUAACAUGGAGAAAAUAGAAUUUACUUUUCCUAAUAGGAGGUUCAAAUCAAGCUAUGCAGCAGGGGAGAAUUGUUUCAGGACAGGUGAGCAUUUAACACAUGGAACUUAUUACAGAUGAAAAUGGCUGUGUUGUCUCCUGUUUUUCUCGGAAGCCAGAGGCACAAAAGUAAAGGGCUAUCAGUCAAUGUAAGGUUAGUGUGAACAAGGUGCUAAGAGGGGACUCACAAUGAUACAGGGGUAUGGACAUGAUUUCUGAGAUCCCCUACUGGGCAUUCUGAGCUACUCUUUUAGCUCUCAAAUGUUGGUAUCUUGGAGGAGAUCUGCUCUUGUGAGGGCUGGCCUUGAACACUUGAGAACUGACAGCAGUCAAACAACUUGCCGUGAGUAAACAGCAGUGUGAGAGGAGACACAGGAUGCCAAGGCAAAAGCAUUGCUAUUAGAAACCAUGCGCAGACCUUGUUAGCACUGGAUUUUAAAAAAGCACGACUAAAUUCAAGUAAUGUCCCGCUGGCUCAUUAUCUAACUUCCUAUACACUGAGCAUCUUUCUUUUAAAGUAGCACAGGGAAUAAUCUGCCUGAUUCAUGUUGCACUGGUCAGACUAUUCAAGUAGACAAUUCAGAACAUAAAAUUUAAAAACUUGAACUAAUUUAUUAAUUGAUAAAGCCCACAUGAAUUUACAAAAAACCUGUACUAUAGAGUAAAAAAGUAUGCACUGUUUUUGCUUCUAGUGUAGUGCCUUACAAGCUUAAUCAUAAAAUGAAAAACAAAUAUAUAUGACCUUACACUUAAGGAAGAGAUGUAUACAAUAAAGAAAGAAGAAAAUCCUACUUAUAAUUUUAUAACUACUAAGAGAACAGAGAAAAUUUCACUGUCAAAUAAUCUUUGUGGAUAUUUUUACUUUCUGUUCGAAAUCACAAACAUUACAUUUAUAGAAAUAAAAUGUUUAAAUAAUA